GAUGAAGAACGUAGCGAAAUGCGAUAAGUAAUGUGAAUUGCAGAAUUCAGUGAAUCAUCGAAUCUUUGAACGCACAUUGCGCCCGCCAGUAUUCUGGCGGGCAUGCCUGUUCGAGCGUCAUUACAACCCUCAGGCCCCCGGGCCUGGCGUUGGGGAUCGGCGGAGCCCCCCGUGGGCACACGCCGUCCCCCAAAUACAGUGGCGGUCCCGCCGCAGCUUCCAUCGCGUAGUAGCUAACACCUCGCGACUGGAGAGCGGCGCGGCCACGCCGUAAAACACCCAACUCUUCUGAAGUUGACCUCGAAUCAGGUAGGAAUACCCGCUGAACUUAAGCAUAUCAAUAAGCGGAGGA
rnacentral:misc_RNA from 1 species